rnacentral:rRNA from 2 species
AGGGUUCGAUUCUGGCUCAGGAUGAACGCUGGCGGCGUGCUUAACACAUGCAAGUCGAACGGGAUCCUGCAGGCUUUGCUUGCGGGUGAGAGUGGCGAACGGGUGAGUAAUGCGUGACCAACCUGCCCCAUACACCGGAAUAGCUCCUGGAAACGGGUGGUAAUGCCGGAUGUUCCGCGUGACCGCAUGGGAUCGCGGGAAAGAUUUCAUCGGUAUGGGAUGGGGUCGCGUCCUAUCAGCUUGUUGGUGGGGUGAAGGCCCACCAAGGCUUCGACGGGUAGCCGGCCUGAGAGGGCGACCGGCCACAUUGGGACUGAGAUACGGCCCAGACUCCUACGGGAGGCAGCAGUGGGGAAUAUUGCACAAUGGGCGCAAGCCUGAUGCAGCGACGCCGCGUGCGGGAUGGAGGCCUUCGGGUUGUAAACCGCUUUUAUCGGGGAGCAAGCGAGAGUGAGUUUACCCGUUGAAUAAGCACCGGCUAACUACGUGCCAGCAGCCGCGGUAAUACGUAGGGUGCAAGCGUUAUCCGGAUUUAUUGGGCGUAAAGAGCUCGUAGGCGGUUCGUCGCGUCUGGUGUGAAAGUCCAUCGCUUAACGGUGGAUCUGCGCCGGGUACGGGCGGGCUGGAGUGCGGUAGGGGAGACUGGAAUUCCCGGUGUAACGGUGGAAUGUGUAGAUAUCGGGAAGAACACCAAUGGCGAAGGCAGGUCUCUGGGCCGUUACUGACGCUGAGGAGCGAAAGCGUGGGGAGCGAACAGGAUUAGAUACCCUGGUAGUCCACGCCGUAAACGGUGGACGCUGGAUGUGGGGCCCAUUCCACGGGUUCCGUGUCGGAGCUAACGCGUUAAGCGUCCCGCCUGGGGAGUACGGCCGCAAGGCUAAAACUCAAAGAAAUUGACGGGGGCCCGCACAAGCGGCGGAGCAUGCGGAUUAAUUCGAUGCAACGCGAAGAACCUUACCUGGGCUUGACAUGUUCCCGACAGCCCCAGAGAUGGGGUCUCCCUUCGGGGCGGGUUCACAGGUGGUGCAUGGUCGUCGUCAGCUCGUGUCGUGAGAUGUUGGGUUAAGUCCCGCAACGAGCGCAACCCUCGCCCCGUGUUGCCAGCACGUCAUGGUGGGAACUCACGGGGGACCGCCGGGGUUAACUCGGAGGAAGGUGGGGAUGACGUCAGAUCAUCAUGCCCCUUACGUCCAGGGCUUCACGCAUGCUACAAUGGCCGGUACAGCGGGAUGCGACAUGGCGACAUGGAGCGAAUCCCUGAAAACCGGUCUCAGUUCGGAUCGGAGCCUGCAACUCGGCUCCGUGAAGGCGGAGUCGCUAGUAAUCGCGGAUCAGCAACGCCGCGGUGAAUGCGUUCCCGGGCCUUGUACACACCGCCCGUCAAGUCAUGAAAGUGGGUAGCACCCGAAGCCGGUGGCCCAACCCUUUGGGAGGGAGCCGUCUAAGGUGAGACUCGUGAUUGGGACUAAGUCGUAACAAGGUAGCCGUACCGGAAGGUGCGGCUGGAUCACCU